GAUCAUUGGACCCAAUUUGUGGCUGAACGGACAAACCCACAAUUUAUUGAAGUGCGUAGGUUGGCACAAGCUAGGCGUGCGAAGAAUAAGUAUCCCCACCGAAUGUCCCGUAAGGGAUAUGCUGGGUUGGAGGAAGAGCUGUCUACAACAAUGGAGGAGGAUGAAAUUGAUAGAGCGACACUAUGGAUCGCUGGACGACAGACCAAGCAGGGAACCUUCAAGGAUGAAGGGACGAAGUAGUGCGCUGAAAAAAUUAGGGACUUGAAGGAGAAGGUUGCUAGUGGAGAAUUAAGCACUAGUGGAAGUAAUGAUGUGUUAACCUUGGCUUUGGGCACUCUUGAGCAUGGUGGUAGAGUGCGAGGGGUGGGAGCUUAUGUGAAUCC